CUGCAAAGACGGGAAAUGACCACUCCGUGCGCCCUCCUGCACAGCCUGUGAGCAGGCUGGCUCCACCCCGGGCUGACAAAAUCCCUAAGAGGGAUUCGGAUGUGCUGGGAGAAGCCAGGCAGUGACUGAGUCUUGUGGAAAAGGGCAGCUCCCUCCGGGUCCAUCCGGCGUGGAAUCUUGUUUUCUCCUUUUCGUAUAAACAGAGAGGGUAGGUGGGACGAAAAAAAAAAAUCCCAGUGCUCAAAGGCAGUUCCUGGAAGCAAAAGCUCUGGUCUGUGCGCACUGUUGACUCUAAUCACUUCAACAGAGAAAAAGAAAAUGCUGUGCUUGUUAGAACCUGCUGGUCAAACUUCAACUUCUUCUGCAGAGAAGUACUUGCUUCCUUCCAUCUGCUGCUUUUGCUAGGAAGGAAAAUCAGCUUGUUCAGACACCAGGAAGUUCUUCAACAUUUGAACAGCUAGCUGUGAAUGCAGAAACAGUAACAUGCAUAAAUAAUCAUCCCUAAAAAUAUCCUGCAUGCCAGUCACACGUAUAACCCAGCCCUGGAGCGAUUCCUCAGUAACAUAAGGCUGCCUAAAGUAUGCAGAUACACGGGCUGUGGGCAGAACAAGGCAGCUGUGGCAGCAGAUGCACGUGCCUGGCUCUCUCAUACUGUUGUAGUUUUUUUCUUCUCAUCAAAACAUGUUUUGCUUUUCCUGGGAGCUGCCAACUGCCUCUCAUGUCUUUGUGCACUGCUCCUGUCAAAGCCGUUUGCAAAGGAGAUCAAAACGAGAGCCAAGACCUUUUGCAAUUCACAGCGCCCCAUCUCACUUGAAUUUAAACCAGACACCUUUGCAAAGCCCAGUGCUGACCCCGGGACUGUUAGCAGCAUGUUAGGGCAAGGCUGAUCCUCAAACGCAGCAGCUCUCUGUAGCUGAGGGUGCAAAGUGCAGUAAAGGAAGGCUGUGCAGGUAGGUGGCAGGGUCCUGAGCUGUCCAUGGCUGUUCUGACGGCAGCAAACCUGGCAGCCCACAAGUCAUCGCAGAGGGGCAUGCGGUAGCUGCCCUGCGGCUUGUUGCUUUGGGGAGUCCAUGGCCUUUCUUGCAGUCAAUCCCUGUGCACUCUGCACCUCCGGUAUUUGCCUUCUUUUUGUGGGGGGGAUGCCCGGAGAAUGGCAGACACAGGAUGAGAAGCGUUCAGACAUCAGCCAGGUCCCCGCUGUCCCUCAGCUCAGCGCAGCCCUGUCAGGCUCCAACCUGUGCUGCUGAAACCACGGGAGCUGUAAUUGCUAUCGGUGUCUGUGGGACUGAGGGGUGUAUCACACCGAUACGAUGCCAGCAGGAAAAGUGGGAAAGUCCUUUCACACGGAGCCACAGGGUGGGCAAUAGCCUGUAAAAAAGCCCAGGCUGUCCAGCAUGGUGGGAGCACGGAGGAGCCUCUGCUGUCAGCUCUUUGCCCAGCACUGCAGCCACGGAAAUACCUCCCUGCCUGCCGGCUAACCACUGCUGAUGGAAACACACAGCACUUUCCAUUUAUUCAGUCUCUGUGGCCUAAAACUCUUCCCAAGUCCGACCACAGCCAUCUGGCAAUGGCCUGUCACACCCACCAUUCCCCAGCCAAGCACAAACCAAGCCAGCAGUUCUCAGCACUCACGAUGAGAUAACAUCAGGAGCACUCAGUCUUGCCAGGUCAUUUACAUUUUUUUUUAAAGGAAGGAACUGCAUGGACUGGGUCCUAGAAAAGCAAUUUGUAUAUUAUUCUUUUCUCCUAAUGAAAGUGAAACACUGCCUGACUUUGAAGAGCUUUGUGUUCCAGUAAGGAACCUCUUAACUCUCACCCAGGUUGCACGGUGAGGUCGGGCACAUUUCCAGCACUGGUUGAAGGGAGCUGGAGCAG